CCUACGGGUGGCUGCAGUGGGGAAUAUUGGACAAUGGGCGAAAGCCUGAUCCAGCCAUGCCGCGUGUGUGAAGAAGGCCUUCGGGUUGUAAAGCACUUUCGGUGGGGAAGAAAGCCUUGGGGCUAAUACCCUCGAGGAAGGACAUCACCCACAGAAGAAGCACCGGCUAACUCCGUGCCAGCAGCCGCGGUAAUACGGAGGGUGCGAGCGUUAAUCGGAAUUACUGGGCGUAAAGCGCGCGUAGGCGGUCUGAUAAGCCGGUUGUGAAAGCCCCGGGCUCAACCUGGGAACGGCAUCCGGAACUGUCAGGCUAGAGUGCAGGAGAGGAAGGUAGAAUUCCCGGUGUAGCGGUGAAAUGCGUAGAGAUCGGGAGGAAUACCAGUGGCGAAGGCGGCCUUCUGGACUGACACUGACGCUGAGGUGCGAAAGCGUGGGUAGCAAACAGGAUUAGAUACCCGGUAGUC
rnacentral:rRNA from 1 species